UAGGGAAUAUUGGUUAAUGUGCGAAAGCGCGAACCAGCAACGCCGCGUGUGCGAUGAAGGCCUUCGGGUCGUAAAGCACUUUUUGCAGGGACGAGGAGGGACGGUACCUGCAGAAUAAGUCUCGGCUAACUACGUGCCAGCAGCCGCGGUAAAACGUAGGAGACGAGCGUUAUCCGGAUUUACUGGGCGUAAAGCGCGUGCAGGCGGCAUGGCAAGUUGGAUGUGAAAGCUCCCGGCUUAACUGGGAGAGGUCGUUCAAUACUGCCAGGCUUGAGAGUGGUGGAGGGAAGCGGAAUUCCGGGUGUAGUGGUGAAAUGCGUAGAUAUCCGGAGGAACACCAGUGGCGAAAGCGGCUUCCUGGCCCAUUUCUGACGCUCAGACGCGAAAGCUAGGGUAGCAAACGG
rnacentral:rRNA from 1 species